AACGAACGCUGGCGGCAUGCCUAACACAUGCAAGUCGAACGAGAUCUUCGGGUCUAGUGGCGCACGGGUGCGUGACGCGUGGGAAUCUGCCCUUUGGUUCGGAAUAACAGUUGGAAACGACUGCUAAUACCGGAUGAUGACGAAAGUCAAAAGAUUUAUCGCCAGAGGAUGAGCCCGCGUAGGAUUAGCUAGUUGGUGUGGUAAAGGCGCACCAAGGCGACGAUCCUUAGCUGGUCUGAGAGGAUGAUCAGCCACACUGGGACUGAGACACGGCCCAGACUCCUACGGGAGGCAGCAGUGGGGAAUAUUGGACAAUGGGCGAAAGCCUGAUCCAGCAAUGCCGCGUGAGUGAUGAGGGCCUUAGGGUUGUAAAGCCCUUUUACCCGGGAUGAUAAUGACAGUACCGGGAGAAUAAGCUCCGGCUAACUCCGUGCCAGCCGCCGCCGUAACAC
rnacentral:rRNA from 1 species